GUUCUCUACGUGCUUAGAUAAGAGAUCAUCUUGCAAAGCCCUUGGCACAAUGUGUGACACCACAAUACAUGUUCUGGAGACUGGGAAGAGCAACACAAAGAUAUUCAGUUGCUUGGUGAGAGCUGCUCUCUGCUUCCAAGGCGGCACCUUGUUGCUGCAUUCUCCAAUGGGAAGGAACGCUGGGUCC
ensembl:lncRNA LINC01435 long intergenic non-protein coding RNA 1435